CCUACGUGAGGCAGCAGUGGGGAAUAUUGCACAAUGGGGGAAACCCUGAUGCAGCGACGCCGCGUGAGUGAAGAAGUAAUUCGUUAUGUAAAGCUCUAUCAGCAGGGAAGAAAAUGACGGUACCUGAGUACGAAGCCCCGGCUAACUACGAGCCAGCAGCCGCGGUAAUGCGUAGGGGGCAACCGUUAUCCGGAUUUACUGGGGUUAAAGGGAGCGUAGACGGAAUGGAAAGUCUGGAGUGAAAGUCGGGGGCUCAACCCCCGGACUGCUCUGGAAACUGUACGGCUGGAGUGCAGGAGAGGUAAGUGGAAUUCCUAGUGUAGCGGUGAAAUGCGUAGAUAUUAGGAGGAACACCAGUGGCGAAGGCGGCUUACUGGACUGUAACUGACGUUGAGGCUCGAAAGCGUGGGGAGCAAACAGGAUUAGAUACCCCUGUAGUC
rnacentral:rRNA from 1 species